UGGAGAGGAACUGUUGCAUCAGCCCUCCUCUGGGGUUUAUAGCUGAAAGCUCAACAGUUUUUCCUCAGUGAUACAGAUCAGACCAGAAAAACAACAAGAAGACCAGAAUGUCUUUCAUCUGCAUCUGUGUCUUGGCCGUCACUUUCUACACCCAAGGGUGUACAGCAGACAUUUUGCUGACCCAGACUCCAGAAUCAGUGACAGUCCAGCAGGGAGAUUCUGCCACCAUCAGCUGUAAAGCCAGCGUCGCCAUCGAUGAUGACUUAGUCUGGUACCAACAGAAACCAGGAGGAGCUCCUAAAUUCAUCAUUGAUUUAAAUACUGGUAUGACUUCAGGUCGAUACCAAGGCAGUGGAAAUGAUCCUAGUUACAGUCUGACCAUCAGUAACGUCCAGGCAGAAGAUGCAGGAGUUUAUUACUGUCAGCAUCAUGAAGCCUUACCGCUCACACAGUGAAAAACAGCUGAACAAAAACCUCCCUCAGUGAAAGAGGAAGUGACUCUACCAGCUUAGAGAGAACCAACGGCAAAGAUUCAACAUUCAGCAGUUUGCAGAUAUUUCAGCCAGGAUGAAGGAAUUUUUAUCAGUG